GGCCAGAUAGCUCAGUUGGUAGAGCAGGGGACUGAAAAUCCCCGUGUCGGUGGUUCGAUUCCACCUCUGGCCACCA
rnacentral:tRNA from 4 species